rnacentral:lncRNA from 1 species
UGGGCAGUGCGCGGGGCCGGUGCCUCGUGCGGAACCCUGCGGAGCCCCCGGCAGUUCUCCUUGGACGGGGCGUUCGGCGGGGAGCACAGCACCGAGCACAUCUACAGCCAGAUGGCCCAGCCGCUGGUGGAGGGUGUCAUGGAAGGCUACAAUAGCACACCUUUGCCUAUGGCCAGGCUGGCAGUGGGAAGUCCUUCACCAUGCAGGGAGCUUCCUCACAGAAAGGGAUCAUUCCAGGGCAUUUGAACACAUCUUUGAGAGUGUACAGUGUACUGAAAACACCAAGUUCCUGCUGAGAGCCUCCUACCUGGAGAUCUACAAUGAGGACAUAUGAGACCUUCUAGGACCUGACACCAAGCAGAAGCUGGAGGUGAGGUGGGCUCAAUGUGUCUUAAUUAAGUGCUUUAAUUAGCUCAGAUGGGUGUUGCUAUGACUUACUGAAGUGCAACAAAGGUCUCUGUCAGAAGCUGUGAAGUAACAUGAGGAAUAUGGAAGCUAAGAGGGACUUCUGAGGGACUUUAGGGAAAGUUUAGGAACCUUCUCCGUG